AAGCGGUAAGUGUUGCUGGUGACACACUAGACUGUGGCUCUGGAGUGACGGGUUCGAGCCCCGUACCGC
rnacentral:tRNA from 1 species